AUUGAACGCUGGCGGCAGGCCUAACACAUGCAAGUCGAGCGGUAGAGAGGUGCUUGCACCUCUUGAGAGCGGCGGACGGGUGAGUAAUGCCUAGGAAUCUGCCUGGUAGUGGGGGACAACGCUCGGAAACGGACGCUAAUACCGCAUACGUCCUACGGGAGAAAGCAGGGGACCUUCGGGCCUUGCGCUAUCAGAUGAGCCUAGGUCGGAUUAGCUAGUUGGUGAGGUAAUGGCUCACCAAGGCGACGAUCCGUAACUGGUCUGAGAGGAUGAUCAGUCACACUGGAACUGAGACACGGUCCAGACUCCUACGGGAGGCAGCAGUGGGGAAUAUUGGACAAUGGGCGAAAGCCUGAUCCAGCCAUGCCGCGUGUGUGAAGAAGGUCUUCGGAUUGUAAAGCACUUUAAGUUGGGAGGAAGGGUCGUUACCUAAUACGUGACGAUUUUGACGUUACCGACAGAAUAAGCACCGGCUAACUCUGUGCCAGCAGCCGCAGUAACAC
rnacentral:rRNA from 1 species